rnacentral:rRNA from 1 species
AGAGUUUGAUCAUGGCUCAGAUUGAACGCUGGCGGCAGGCUUAACACAUGCAAGUCGAGCGGAAACGAGAAUAGCUUGCUAUUCGGCGUCGAGCGGCGGACGGGUGAGUAAUGCUUGGGAAUAUGCCUUAUGGUGGGGGACAACAGUUGGAAACGACUGCUAAUACCGCAUAAUGUCUACGGACCAAAGGGGGGGAUCUUCGGACCUCUCGCCAUUUGAUUAGCCCAAGUGAGAUUAGCUAGUAGGUGAGGUAAUGGCUCACCUAGGCGACGAUCUCUAGCCGGUUUGAGAGGAUGAUCAGCCACACUGGGACUGAGACACGGCCCAGACUCCUACGGGAGGCAGCAGUGGGGAAUAUUGCACAAUGGGCGAAAGCCUGAUGCAGCCAUGCCGCGUGUGUGAAGAAGGCCUUCGGGUUGUAA